CUGGAUCGUGUGUAAUAAUUUGUAAGAAUAUUGGGGUUAUAUAGUGAAUAUGGGGAGCUAUGCAUGUUUAGUUAAGGGGAACGGGUAGAAAACAUGCCUAUAGGCCUUUACUUAUUUACUUGUGCAAUAGCUACCAUACUUUAGGGCAUGCAUCCUCACAUAGAAAUCAUGUUCUUAAGCUUUUCACUUUCAGUUUGUUAUUCAGAAUAUUCUCAUAACCAUGACUAAUUAAUAAUCAACAAGUCAUUAACCUCACAUUUAGAUAUCAUGUUCAUUGGACCUUUUGUGCAUUAGAUACCAUGCCUUUAGGACUUUUACCUGCAGUUGUUUAAGUACUUUAUUAAUCUUGGCUAAAAUUGGUUAACAGCUCUCUCUUUAAAACUGGAAGCAAAUGUGCAUGCUCACCA
rnacentral:lncRNA from 1 species